rnacentral:rRNA from 1 species
UAUNGCACAAUGGGCGCAAGCCUGAUGCAGCNACGCCGCGUGAGUGAAGAAGUAUCUCGGUAUGUAAAGCUCUAUCAGCAGGGAAGAAAAUGACGGUACCUGACUAAGAAGCCCCGGCUAACUACGUGCCAGCAGCCGCGGUAAUACGUAGGGGGCAAGCGUUAUCCGGAUUUACUGGGUGUAAAGGGAGCGUAGACGGUUAUGUAAGUCUGGAGUGAAAGCCCGGGGCCCAACCCCGGGGCUGCUUUGGAAACUGUGUAACUGGAGUACAGGAGGGGCAGGCGGAAUUCCUGGUGUAGCGGUGAAAUGCGUAGAUAUCAGGAGGAACACCGGCGGCGAAGGCGGCCUGCUGGACUGAAACUGACGUUGAGGCUCGAAAGCGCGGGGAGCAAACA